GAUAAGAACGUAGCGAAAUGCGAUAAGUAAUGUGAAUUGCAGAAUUCAGUGAAUCAUCGAAUCUUUGAACGCACAUUGCGCCCGGUAGUAAUCUGCCGGGCAUGCCUGUCCGAGCGUCAUUUCAACCCUCGAACCACUAUUCGCGUAGCUGGAUCGGUGUUGGGGCACUACGGUGGAAUACCCGUAGGCCCCGAAAUGAAGUGGCGGUCCCGCCGCGGCGCCCCCAUGCGUAGUAACAUCUCGUCUCGCAUCGGGUCCCGGCGGAGGCCUGCCGUCAAGCCUAUUUUCUAAUUACAGAUGGUUUGACCUCGGAUCAGGUAGGGUUACCCGCUGAACUUAAGCAUAUCAAUAAGCGGAGGA
rnacentral:misc_RNA from 1 species